rnacentral:tRNA from 1 species
GGUGGGGUGCGAGAGUGGUCAAAUCGGGCAGCUUGGAAAGCUGCGCCCUUUCGGGGGCCCGUGGGUUCGAAUCCCACCCCCACCG